rnacentral:rRNA from 1 species
UCCUACGGGGCGCAGCAGUAGGGAAUCUUCCACAAUGGACGAAAGUCUGAUGGAGCAACGCCGCGUGAGUGAAGAAGGGUUUCGGCUCGUAAAGCUCUGUUGGUAGUGGAGAAAGAUAGAGGUAGUAACUGGCCGUUAUUUGACGGUAAUUACUUAGAAAGUCACGGCUAACUACGUGCCAGCCGCCGCGGUAAUACGUAGGUGGCAAGCGUUGUCCGGAUUUAUUGGGCGUAAAGCGAGUGCAGGGGGGUUCAUAA